AUUUUUUUUAAGUAAAAAAAAAUAAAAAUUUUCAUUAUAAACAUAUAUAUCAAAAUAAAUCAAUUGGAUUAAAUAUUUAUAAAAUUAUGAAUUUCAAACAGGUUGAUUUACCAAGUAUUUAGCUAUUUACAUUGCUCAAAAGAAAAGUUAAGAGUUAGAAAGCAACCUAUUGUAGUCAGAGCACUAUAGGCAGGAAAGAUUCAAAGUA
rnacentral:misc_RNA from 1 species